UCUCUCUCUCUCUCUCUCUCUCUUUUAUUUUCUCAAAAACAAAAAAUGUCGAACACUCAGAACCAAUUCAAUGCCGGCCAUGCACGUGGAGUUGGUGCGGCUCAGGCCGACCAGCUAAUGGGUUCAGCUGACAGCCUUCAGGCCCACAGGUCUGGUGCGGCCCAGUCGGCCCAGGAGAGCAAGGAGCAGGCCGCCGGAUUUCUUCAGCAGACUGCGGAGCAAGCGAAGCAGAUGGCGCAGGGCGCGGUG